UAUAGCCAUAUCACUGGACACGGCACGAUACGGUCACACUGCGCAGUCGGCGUUUUUUAGCGACAUCUCGCGCUGGUUCACUUCGUUCACUCGUUCGCAACGCGAUGUUUUGAAUACAUACAUUUUUUCCAUUCUCGCCAAGUGAAGUUCAUCCGCCAGACCGAAGAUUUUUAGUCAAACGUGCUAAAUCUAUGAAAUUAACUGUGUUUUAUGAAUCAAUUAGGGCGAGCAGAUCUGCAAAAUUAUCGAGUAGCGAUUCUCUUCUGAAGGCAACACAUUCGGUUUGGACUUAAAGGAUAGACUCGAG